rnacentral:rRNA from 1 species
ACUGACUCUAGCCCAAACACAUAUCAACACAACUACAACUAAAAUCUAAACUAAAGCAUUCAAUUCAUAAUUAGAAGUAUAGGAGAUAGAAACUUAACUAAGGCGCUAUAGAGAUAGUACCGCAAGGGAAAGAUGAAAGAUGGAACAACAGUGAGAAAAAGCAAAGAUUAACCCUUGUACCUUUUGCAUAAUGAACUAGCCAGAAUUCACCUAGCAAAGAGAACUUCAGUUAGGUACCCCGAAACCAGACGAGCUACUUACGAGCAGCUAAUAGAGCAAAUUCAUCUGUGUCGCAAAAUAGUGAAGUGACUUGUAAGUAGAGGUGAAAAGCCAAUCGAGCCUGGUGAUAGCUGGUUGUCCAGAGUAGAAUCUCAGUUCAACUUUAAGUACCUACCUAAAGAAACCCUAAUCUUAAUGUAUACUUAAAUGUUAAUCUAAGGGGGUACAGCUCCUUAGAACUAGGAAAAACCUUGAUUAGAGAGUAAAAAAUUAUUAACCCAUAGUUGGCCUAAAAGCAGCCACCAAUUGAGAAAGCGUUCAAGCUCAACAGUAAACACCCAUAAUAAUACCGCAAACAACUGCCAACUCCUAAACUUCAACUGGACCAAUCCACAUAUAUGUGGAUGAGACACUGCUAGCAUUAGUAACAAGAAAUAAUUCUCCCGGCACAAGCCUAUAUCAGAUCGGAUGCCCACUGAUAGUUAACAACACAAUAAGACAUAAAUCCAACUCAAGUUGACUUAUUAUACAAAUUGUUGACCCAACACCGGAGUGCACAAACCUCAAGGGAAAGAUUAAAAAGAGUAAAAGGAACUCGGCAAACACAAACCCCGCCUGUUUACCAAAAACAUCACCUCUAGCAUAAAAAGUAUUAGAGGCACUGCCUGCCCAGUGACAUAAGUUAAACGGCCGCGGUAUCCUGACCGUGCAAAGGUAGCAUAAUCAUUUGUUCCUUAAAUAGGGACUUGUAUGAACGGCCACACGAGGGUUUAACUGUCUCUUACUCUAAAUCAGUGAAAUUGACCUCCCCGUGAAGAGGCGGGGAUAAAAAAAUAAGACGAGAAGACCCUAUGGAGCUUUAAUUAACUAACUCACAUAUAACAAUCUUAACUCGACAGAGAAUAAAUAGCAUAUUCUGAGUUAGCAAUUUCGGUUGGGGUGACCUCGGAGAACAAAAAAUCCUCCGAAGCGAUUUAGCCAAGACAUAACAAGUCAAAGCAUCCUUUCAAAUAAUUGAUCCAAUAAGUUGAUCAAUGGAACCAGUUACCCUAGGGAUAACAGCGCAAUCCUAUUUUAGAGUCCAUAUCGACAAUAGGGUUUACGACCUCGAUGUUGGAUCAGGACAUCCCAAUGGUGCAGCCGCUAUUAAUGGUUCGUUUGUUCAACGAUUAAAGUCCUACGUGAUCUGAGUUCAGACCGGAGUAAUCCAGGUCGGUUUCUAUCUAUUAGACGCUCCUCCUAGUACGAAAGGACAAGAGGAACGGGGCCAACUCACCAAGUGCGCCCCAAACUUAAUAGAUGAAUAAAUCUCAACCUAGACAGUUAUCACAACCCCUGCCCAAGAGCAGGGCUU